AUUGAACGCUGGCGGCAUGCCUUACACAUGCAAGUCGAACGGCAGCACGGGUGCUUGCACCUGGUGGCGAGUGGCGAACGGGUGAGUAAUACAUCGGAACAUGUCCGUUAGUGGGGGAUAGCCCGGCGAAAGCCGGAUUAAUACCGCAUACGAUCUACGGAUGAAAGCGGGGGACCUUCGGUCCUCGCGCUAUAGGGUUGGCCGAUGGCUGAUUAGCUAGUUGGUGGGGUAAAGGCCUACCAAGGCGACGAUCAGUAGCUGGUCUGAGAGGACGACCAGCCACACUGGGACUGAGACACGGCCCAGACUCCUACGGGAGGCAGCAGUGGGGAAUUUUGGACAAUGGGCGAAAGCCUGAUCCAGCAAUGCCGCGUGUGUGAAGAAGGCCUUCGGGUUGUAAAGCACUUUUGUCCGGAAAGAAAUCCUUGGCUCUAAUACAGUCGGGGGAUGACGGUACCGGAAGAAUAAGCACCGGCUAACUACGUG
rnacentral:rRNA from 1 species